GUUAAGCGACUAAGCGUACACGGUGGAUGCCCUGGCAGUCAGAGGCGAUGAAGGACGUGCUAAUCUGCGAUAAGCGUCGGUAAGGUGAUAUGAACCGUUAUAACCGGCGAUUUCCGAAUGGGGAAACCCAGUGUGUUUCGACACACUAUCAUUAACUGAAUCCAUAGGUUAAUGAGGCGAACCGGGGGAACUGAAACAUCUAAGUACCCCGAGGAAAAGAAAUCAACCGAGAUUCCCCCAGUAGCGGCGAGCGAACGGGGAGCAGCCCAGAGCCUGAAUCAGUGUGUGUGUUAGUGGAAGCGUCUGGAAAGGCGCGCGAUACAGGGUGACAGCCCCGUACACAAAAAUGCACAUGCUGUGAGCUCGAUGAGUAGGGCGGGACACGUGGUAUCCUGUCUGAAUAUGGGGGGACCAUCCUCCAAGGCUAAAUACUCCUGACUGACCGAUAGUGAACCAGUACCGUGAGGGAAAGGCGAAAAGAACCCCGGCGAGGGGAGUGAAAAAGAACCUGAAACCGUGUACGUACAAGCAGUGGGAGCACGCUUAGGCGUGUGACUGCGUACCUUUUGUAUAAUGGGUCAGCGACUUAUAUUCUGUAGCAAGGUUAACCGAAUAGGGGAGCCGAAGGGAAACCGAGUCUUAACUGGGCGUUAAGUUGCAGGGUAUAGACCCGAAACCCGGUGAUCUAGCCAUGGGCAGGUUGAAGGUUGGGUAACACUAACUGGAGGACCGAACCGACUAAUGUUGAAAAAUUAGCGGAUGACUUGUGGCUGGGGGUGAAAGGCCAAUCAAACCGGGAGAUAGCUGGUUCUCCCCGAAAGCUAUUUAGGUAGCGCCUCGUGAAUUCAUCUCCGGGGGUAGAGCACUGUUUCGGCAAGGGGGUCAUCCCGACUUACCAACCCGAUGCAAACUGCGAAUACCGGAGAAUGUUAUCACGGGAGACACACGGCGGGUGCUAACGUCCGUCGUGAAGAGGGAAACAACCCAGACCGCCAGCUAAGGUCCCAAAGUCAUGGUUAAGUGGGAAACGAUGUGGGAAGGCCCAGACAGCCAGGAUGUUGGCUUAGAAGCAGCCAUCAUUUAAAGAAAGCGUAAUAGCUCACUGGUCGAGUCGGCCUGCGCGGAAGAUGUAACGGGGCUAAACCAUGCACCGAAGCUGCGGCAGCGACACUAUGUGUUGUUGGGUAGGGGAGCGUUCUGUAAGCCUGUGAAGGUGUGCUGUGAGGCAUGCUGGAGGUAUCAGAAGUGCGAAUGCUGACAUAAGUAACGAUAAAGCGGGUGAAAAGCCCGCUCGCCGGAAGACCAAGGGUUCCUGUCCAACGUUAAUCGGGGCAGGGUGAGUCGACCCCUAAGGCGAGGCCGAAAGGCGUAGUCGAUGGGAAACAGGUUAAUAUUCCUGUACUUGGUGUUACUGCGAAGGGGGGACGGAGAAGGCUAUGUUGGCCGGGCGACGGUUGUCCCGGUUUAAGCGUGUAGGCUGGUUUUCCAGGCAAAUCCGGAAAAUCAAGGCUGAGGCGUGAUGACGAGGCACUACGGUGCUGAAGCAACAAAUGCCCUGCUUCCAGGAAAAGCCUCUAAGCAUCAGGUAACAUCAAAUCGUACCCCAAACCGACACAGGUGGUCAGGUAGAGAAUACCAAGGCGCUUGAGAGAACUCGGGUGAAGGAACUAGGCAAAAUGGUGCCGUAACUUCGGGAGAAGGCACGCUGAUAUGUAGGUGAAGUCCCUCGCGGAUGGAGCUGAAAUCAGUCGAAGAUACCAGCUGGCUGCAACUGUUUAUUAAAAACACAGCACUGUGCAAACACGAAAGUGGACGUAUACGGUGUGACGCCUGCCCGGUGC
rnacentral:rRNA from 1 species